rnacentral:lncRNA from 1 species
AGACAACUUCCCCAGGCAACAAAUCUGUGCCCUGCAGUGUUCAAGGCUCUGGGUGUAGCAGUGAGUGAAGUAGCCCCUGCCCUGAAGGAGCAGGCAUCCAAGUGGUGAAGAGGAAGGCAGAUGAUGGUUCCAUAAACCAGGCAGGAGAGCCAUGGAGAGAAGAGAACAAAGAGGGCAGCGCUACAGACACGGACUUGGAAAGACUGACGUUGACAGAUCUGACAGAGGCCAUGGGCUCCACGGUUUGCCAGCGUGUGCCUGAAGAUGGGCAUAUAGUGUUUCUGUGGACAUUCAAGUUCUCUGGAGUACUACUGAAGGCAACAGAGUCUAGGAUGGUCACCCGUCGAAGCUAGGAGCCUAAGACGCUGGCACUUUCAAAACUGUGGCAUCUGAGAGCUGCAUCACCUGAAGUUCCUGGAGAUCCAAGUGCAGAUGGCCGCUUCCACUAGCGGUUACCCACAGGGGCCAGGUCUCUUGUGUUUAAUGCCCUCCCACGAGUCUUCUUAUGGUUUAAUGUGGAGAAUGAAUCUUAGGAAUGCUGUGGGUACGGAGUCGUGCCUGCUUUCUUCCAGGACCAACUUCUAUUCGUGUCUGAUUGGCACCAUCAGGCGCUUUUCCAGUCAGCCCCUUGCCCUCGCAAAACUAACUUGAGACUAUCACAUCAGGUUUUCUGCUGAGGACUUCUCUCACUUCUAUGAAUAAAUCUACGGUGUUCUGGGACCGCAGAGGAGUGUGCUUGUGGGUGUGUAGCCUCAAGGGCCACUCCAAGGCAGCCCAGAGAGACAUGGGAUACUACAGGGAUGUUGAGACGGGAACAGCGCCCCUCAUUCAGCAUCUCGUUGGUGUUUCCUGCUGAGUGUCAAAGAUUUUAAACAACCACUGAGAAUUCUGCAUUCAGAGGCAAUGUUCUUUUCUAAGAGAUGUCUUCAGCAGGAUGCAAAACACAGUAUAGUAGGCUUGGCUUGCUCAGAGCCCGAAUGUUUGAGAUCUCUGAGUUCGGUCCCCUCAAACCUCUCUCCUGCCUACACCCCAACAAUGUACCCUGCAAAGCCUCCUUACAAUUUUAUUUGCAUAAGGAACCUAAGGAAAAUAGGUAAAUGGGUCCAUAGGCUUUUCCACUUUGUAAAUUUUGCUUAAUCUUAUUACAUCCUUUCAACAAUGUUUAACUUUAAAAGCCACAAAAUCUCAUGUUUAUCCAAUUAAAAAAGGAAAAAAAAUCAAAA